CGAAUGCUGACGUGAGUAACGACAAAACGGGUGAAAAACCCGUUCGCCGAAAGACCAAGGGUUCCAGUCCAACGUUAAUCGGGGCUGGGUGAGUCGACCCCUAAGGCGAGGCCGAAAGGCGUAGUCGAUGGGAAAAUGGUUAAUAUUCCAUUACUUCUGUGUAAUGCGAUGAGAGGACGGAGAAGGCUAAAUCAGCCUGGCGUUGGUUGUCCAGGUGAAAGGAUGUAGGCAUGUAUCUUAGGCAAAUCCGGGGUACUCUAUGCUGAGAUCUGAUAGCAAGCUGUACUUGUACAGCGAAGUGGUUGAUGCCAUGCUUCCAGGAAAAGUCUCUAAGCUUCAGUUACACAGGAAUCGUACCCGAAACCGACACAGGUGGUCAGGUCGAGUAGACCAAGGCGCUUGAGAGAACUCUGCUGAAGGAACUAGGCAAAAUGGUACCGUAACUUCGGGAGAAGGUACGCUGUUGUUGGUGAUGGAACUUGCUUCCUGAGCUGACGACAGCCGCAGAAACCAGGCCGCUGCAACUGUUUAUUAAAAACAUAGCACUCUGCAAACACGAAAGUGGACGUAUAGGGUGUGAUGCCUGCCCGGUGCUGGAAGGUUAAUUGAUGGGGUUAGCGUAAGCGAAGCUCUUGAUCGAAGCCCCAGUAAACGGCGGCCGUAACUAUAACGGUCCUAAGGUAGCGAAAUUCCUUGUCGGGUAAGUUCCGACCUGCACGAAUGGCAUAAUGAUGGCGGCGCUGUCUCCAGCAGAGGCUCAGUGAAAUCGAAAUCGCUGUGAAGAUGCAGUGUACCCGCGGCUAGACGGAAAGACCCCGUGAACCUUUACUGCAGCUUGACACUGAACUUUGACCUUACUUGUGUAGGAUAGGUGGGAGGCUUUGAAGCUGGAACGCUAGUUCCAGUGGAGCCGUCCUUGAAAUACCACCCUGGUAAUGUUGAGGUUCUAACUCUGUCCCGUGAUCCGGGACGAGGACCGUGUCUGGUGGGUAGUUUGACUGGGGCGGUCUCCUCCUAAAGAGUAACGGAGGAGUACGAAGGUGCGCUCAGCGUGGUCGGAAAUCACGCGUAGAGUAUAAAGGCAAAAGCGCGCUUAACUGCGAGACCCACAAGUCGAGCAGGUACGAAAGUAGGUCUUAGUGAUCCGGUGGUUCUGUAUGGAAGGGCCAUCGCUCAACGGAUAAAAGGUACUCUGGGGAUAACAGGCUGAUACCGCCCAAGAGUUCAUAUCGACGGCGGUGUUUGGCACCUCGAUGUCGGCUCAUCUCAUCCUGGGGCUGAAGCAGGUCCCAAGGGUAUGGCUGUUCGCCAUUUAAAGAGGUACGCGAGCUGGGUUUAGAACGUCGUGAGACAGUUCGGUCCCUAUCUACCGUGGGCGCUGGAAAUUUGAGAGGAUCUGCUCCUAGUACGAGAGGACCAGAGUGGACGAACCUCUGGUGUACCGGUUGUGACGCCAGUCGCAUCGCCGGGUAGCUAUGUUCGGAAGGGAUAACCGCUGAAAGCAUCUAAGCGGGAAGCCUACCUCAAGAUAAGAUUUCCCUAGGACUUUAUGUCCUCUAAAGAGCCGUUCGAGACUAGGACGUUGAUAGGUUGGAUGUGGAAGCAUAGUGAUAUGUGAAGCUGACCAAUACUAAUUGCUCGUGAGGCUUGACUAU
rnacentral:rRNA from 1 species